CAGUUUCGCCAACGGAAUAUUUCGAAAUGUACGAAGAGUGGGAAUCAAACACUAGAGAACAAUAACAGAAAUGGCAUUCCGGACCUUCCGUUCCUUCUCUUAACAGACCCAGAAUCAGCAAAGCACGCAGCUCUUGCAGCCUCAGCCCUAGCCCCAACGGCAGCAGUAGCAGCAACAGCUACACCUUUAUCUCUUUGCCAAUGAUAAAUCCCUGGGCAGUUACAAUACAUAUUAGGCCGAUAUAACCAUAAUGUUCCCUGACUGAGUUGUUUGAGCUGAGCAGUAAAUCAGGGUUUAAAUAAAGAUUUUCUUUUCCAAACUCUUUCUACAGGGGGCGGAUAUUGGAGUACAGAGACGAAAGCCAGAGGUUAGACCAUUGUAGCUGUCUUUAUGAUUCUUUGGUAUCAACUGGCGGAUUUGAACUUGAAGCUAAUCAUAUUGUGCAGGGCAAGUUUCAGAGCUGCAUCUGUUAGUGAAUUUGUUCCAACUUGCAAAGCCUUGUGAUGAGGGGUAAUUUGGCCCUCUAGUGGCAUCACGCCAUGUGGCACUUCCGAACUGUUGCAUAACAAGAUCACAUCUCCUCCCCACAAGGGGCUGCCCCACAAUGCCCCACAGCACAUCC